rnacentral:lncRNA from 1 species
UUAACAAAUUUCAUGGAUUUUUAUUGGAUACCGUGACAAGUAUUUAUAUAUCAAGGGUAAUAGCAUGUUUUAAAAAUUAGACAUGUGUUUUAAAAUCAGAUCUAAUUUCUUAUUACACCGGGGAGUGGUGGAGAAAAUCCGGCGAGAAGAGAAAACAGAGUACGACCAAGAGAGAUAAAAGGGAGAGAUUUUUAGGAAAAACAAUUGUUAAAAAGAGAUCUGGUACUGAAGAGAUUUGAUGAGAAAAAGAAAGAAUGAGAACAAAAAAAAGAUUUCAUGGUAAAUCUGAUGAACAAAUCAUGUGUUUCUCUGAAAUAACACGAUAUAUUUACAAAAAAACAUACCAUUUUCUUAAAUAACACGAAGUAUUAACAAAUAUAUAUAAUUGUUAAAAUCUUUCAUGGGUUUUUAUUGGAUAGCGUGACAAAUAUUUAUAUAUCAGUGGUAAUAGCAUGUUUUUUCUUUACAAUACAUGCAUUUUAAAAACUAGUCAUGUGUUUUAAAAUCAGAUUUAAUUUCUUUAUUAUCACACUGGAGAGUGGUGGAGAAAUUCGGCGAUAAUGGAAAAUAGAGAACGACCAAAGGAGAUGAGAGGGAGAGAAUUAUAGGAAAAAAAAAAGAGAGAACAUGUGGUGAAGAAAUCUGACAAUAGGAAGAUAUGGGUAAAGAAAAAGAGAUAUAGUAGUGAAGAGAUUAGAUGAAAAGAAGAGAGAUUGAGAAAAAGAAAAGAUUCCAUGGUGAAUCUGGUGAUGAAUUCUAGCAAAAAAAAAAAAAGAGAAUCAGUGGUGAUGAAGUCAAGAGGAAGCGACAGUGGAGAAGCCAUGGCUGUGGUGGUGGAUACAAUGGAUGUGAUGCUCGAUACAAAUGACCUAUUAGAGCUUAUGGAUCUGAUAGUGGUUAUCUCUGUAAUGGAGUUGUUAGGGAGAAAGUGGUGGUAGUUUCGGAGAAAUCAAAGAAAUAGAAAGAAAGAGAAAGAGAAUGAAAAAUAAUGAAGGAUUGGCUUUG